rnacentral:lncRNA from 1 species
ACUAUUUGGCCCCAAUCUUGUUUGGAAUCUGGACUUUGCUGCUGAAUGGAAAAGUGGGAUGGAGUUGCAUGGAUCCAGGCUUUUGUGCUGCUGUUCUAAGCAGAGUUGGGCCUGGUUAAUAUGUGAUGUUUUCCUUCGGUGCUGUUUAGCCCCAGUGUUCUUUGGAGUCCGGGGAAGUUUGGCCUUUAAAAAUCAAACUGCCAUGGACACUGCUUUACCCAAAAUUUUGGUUCACAUUCUUCACUGGAUUAACUAUUGGGGCAAACAACGUAUAACCAUGUAAAACCAGUACGCUUGUAUUGGCAUUUCAUGGCUAGAGUUCUAAGUCACAAGCACCUCUUCGGCAAAGCCCACCUCCCUCUCUCGCUUGAUUCCCCGGCCAUCCUUAUCAAAGACCUUCCAGGUGAACAGGCAGCCAUCCUCAGCAGCAGUCAGCAGGAACUGAUCAUCAAAGAAACUUGCAAAAAUAGCACAGAGAGAGUGGACUUCUGGAAUGGCACGGAAUGAACAUGUGGAUUGUCUUCAACCGUCCAUUGCUACAAACACUAUGGCAACAAAAUUCCCUACGGCAGCACCCAAAGGCUUGAAAUUAGCCAUUCCAAGUGUGUCCAAAAAACUAAAGGAAACCAUGAUUAAACAAGUAAAGGUAGAAAUGAUAUGCAUCAAAUAGAGAAGAAUAAAAGGAUCCCAUCAAUAUAGGGAUAGAACUGUAAGAAAAUAGAAAUUCUAGAGUUAAAAACUACAAUAACUGAAAUGAAAAAUCCACUAGAGGUGCUCAAGAAUAGAUCUGAACUGGCAGAA